rnacentral:rRNA from 1 species
AAUGACGAGAAACAAGGUGGCGCAUCUUUGUCGGCAGCUGGUGUCAUCAGCUGAUGGGAUAAAUCACCAAACGAGCGCGACCCCUAUGUUUAGUUGCCAGCAAGUAAUGGUGGGGACUCUAGACAGACUGCCUGCGCAAGCAGAGAGGAAGGAGGGGACGACGUCAAGUCAUCAUGGCCCUUACGCCCAGGGCGACACACGUGCUACAAUGGCGCAUACAGCGGGUCGCGAGCCGGUAACGGUCAGCCAACCUCUAAAAGUGCGUCUCAGUUCGGAUCGGGGUCUGCAACUCGACCCCGUGAAGCUGGAAUCGCUAGUAAUCGCGCAUCAGCCAUGGCGCGGUGAAUACGUUCCCGGACCUUGUACACACCGCCCGUCAAGCCAUGGAAGUCGGGUAGACCUGAAGCCAGUAACCGCAAGGAGCUGUU